rnacentral:rRNA from 1 species
CCUACGGGCGGCAGCACUAGGGAAUUUUCCACAAUGGACGAAAGUCUGAUGGAGCAACGCCGCGUGUGAUGAAGGGUUUCGGCUCGUAAAACACUGUUGUAAGAGAAGAAUGACAUUGAGAGUAACUGUUCAGAGUGUGUCGGUAUCUUACCAGAAAGGAACGGCUAAAUACGUGCCAGCAGCCGCGGUAAUACGUAUGUUCCAAGCGUUAUCCGGAUUUAUUGGGCGUAAAGCGAGCGCAGACGGUUGUUUAAUUGCGAAGUGAAAGACAUCAUGUUAACUGGCGAAGUGCUUUUGAAACUGGAUGACUUGAUUGCAGUAGAGGAGAGUGGAACCCCAUGUGUAGCGGUGAAAUGCGUAGAUAUAUGGGAGAACACCAGUGGCGAAGGAGGCUCUCUGGACUGUAACUGACGUUGAGGCUCGAAAGUGUGGGUAGCAAACAGGAUUAGAUACCCCAGUAGUC